AAUCCCUGUUUCUAUCA
rnacentral:tRNA from 1 species